GUGGGUGUAGCUCAACCGGUUAGAGCGCUUCCCUGUGGAGGAAGAGGUUGGCGGUUCGAGUCCGCUCUCCCACCCCU
rnacentral:tRNA from 1 species